UUUAAAAAUUAUACUUUAAAUAUAUAAAAAUAAAAUUUUAUUUAAGUGUUUGAUAUUUUAACUUUCAUUCUUGAUAAGAUUAUUACUUCAAAUUCAUUUUAUGCUUAUGUUUGGGGAAAACAAGAAAAGAGGUUAUUAACAGGUUAAUCUACCUGAGAAGAACCAUGAGCAGGGUCAGAACCACGAGUCUGAGCAGAUUGAAACAAAACAUAUAAGAAUUAAAUAGAGGAGAAAACAAGAAAAGAGGGUGAUUAACAGGUUAAUCUACCUAAGAAGAACCACGAGCAGGGUCAGAACCACGACUCUGAGCAGAUUGAAACAAAACAUAUAAGAAUUAAAUAGAGGAGAAAACAAGAAAAGAGGGUGAUUAACAGCUUAAUCUACCUGAGAAGAUCCACGAGCAGGGUUAGUUAGUACGGCGAGAUUGAAACAAAACAUAUAAGAAUUAAAUAGAGGAGAAAACAAGAAAAGAGGGUGAUAUACAGCUUAAUCUACCUGAGAAGAACCACGAG